CAAAAGCUCUCAGCUGUGCCUGCCUGUCAGGGACGAAGGCAUCUAAAGCAGGGCAGGCUAUAAGACACUUACCAGUGAAUUGCUAUCAAUUUCCACAAACUUCUCCCUCCAUAGGAGAAAAAAGUCAACACAGGACACAACAGAUCCAGAACAACAUCAACUGAGUGUCUUAGCAUGUCAUAUGAAGGUAUUUUGUCCAUCCAAAGUUUGAAGGAGGUUGAGAACCCAUGGAAAGGCAUUACUCUAAACCGUUGCAUAGUUUUGGCCAUCAUCAUUGUGCUUGUGAGCUCAGGGGUGAAUGAAGUACAUGAUGCACUGGAAGUAUUUCUAGAGGAGAAUGAUCUAACUCAGAUGUUACUUGGAGGCGAAGAUCCACAGCCAGAUGGCACAGCUCAGCCUCUCUGUGGGACAGCUUGCCGAGUUGGGGAUAAGACCAUGGAACAAAAGGAAAACCAGAGAAGAGGGGGAGUCUUGAGGAACAGAAAUAGAGAUGCCUGACAAAGGGCUGUGAAGGAAUGAUAGAGAGCAUGAUGGAGAAUGGUAAAGAGGCUAAUACAACAAAUAGGCUGACAUUUUCAGAAAGAAUAAUCAAAUAAAUGUCAGUUUGCCCGGUG